rnacentral:tRNA from 2 species
GGAGUCGUGGCCGAGAGGCUGAAGGCGGCGGUUUGCUAAACCGUUAUACGGGCGUAAACCCGUAUCGAGGGUUCGAAUCCCUCCGACUCCGCCA